CAAGGCAACGGCUCGUGGCUGGUUUUCUUGCCGGCGGCUCCUUUAGAGACGAGCUCCAUUGGUCUGCUGGGUCUGGCCUUCAUCACAGUCCUGCUGGCUCUGGCUGCUCUCUUGCUGCUCUGCCACUUACUGUGCUUCCACAUUUACUUACUGUCUCAGGGCAUCAGCACUUAUGAGUACAUCGUCAGGAAUCGUCAGUCGCCGAAUCCUAAAGAGAAAGAGCAGGUUCCUCCGGCGCUGCCGUCUAACGGAGCCACCACACAGAGUCUCGGGCCGCUGGAGUCCCCUGUGAUCUGUGACGCGCCGCUCUCCAGCAGGUCUUGUACUUUUAAACUGGAAGACAGAGGACAAACAUCCGGUCGACUGCCAGAACCCAUCUGUGCUGAG